UCUCUAUGUAGUUCAAGCUGGCCUUGAGCUCACUUUGUAGCCCAGGCUGGUCUCGAACUCGCAAUGAUCCUCCUGCCUCAGCCUCCCGAGUGCUGGGAUUACAGGCAUGAGCCACCAAGCCCG
rnacentral:miRNA from 1 species